GACGAACGCUGGCGGCGUGCUUAACACAUGCAAGUCGAACGGUGAAGCGAGUGCUUGCACUCGUGGAUCAGUGGCGAACGGGUGAGUAACACGUGAGUAACCUGCCCAUCACUCUGGGAUAAGCACUGGAAACGGUGUCUAAUACUGGAUACGACCAACCCUUGCAUGGGGUGUUGGUGGAAAGAUUUAUCGGUGAUGGAUGGACUCGCGGCCUAUCAGCUUGUUGGCGGGGUAAUGGCCCACCAAGGCGACGACGGGUAGCCGGCCUGAGAGGGUGACCGGCCACACUGGGACUGCGACACGGCCCAGACUCCUACGGGAGGCAGCAGUGGGGAAUAUUGCACAAUGGGCGAAAGCCUGAUGCAGCGACGCCGCGUGAGGGAUGACGGCCUUCGGGUUGUAAACCUCUUUCAGCAGGGAAGAAGCGAAAGUGACGGUACCUGCAGAAGAAGCACCGGCUAACUACGUG
rnacentral:rRNA from 1 species